AUGCCCCUUAUGACCUGGGCUACACACGUGCUACAAUGGUUGGUACAACGGGACGCUACCUCGCGAGAGGACGCCAAUCUCUUAAAACCAAUCUCAGUUCGGAUUGUAGGCUGCAACUCGCCUACAUGAAGUCGGAAUCGCUAGUAAUCGCGGAUCAGCAUGCCGCGGUGAAUACGUUCCCGGGCCUU
rnacentral:rRNA from 1 species